UACAGAGGGGGCAAGCGUUGUUCGGAAUCACUGGGCGUAAAGGGUGCGUAGGCGGGUCUUUAAGUCAGGGGUGAAAUCCUGGAGCUCAACUCCAGAACUGCCUUUGAUACUGAAGAUCUUGAGUUCGGGAGAGGUGAGUGGAACUGCGAGUGUAGAGGUGAAAUUCGUAGAUAUUCGCAAGAACACCAGUGGCGAAGGCGGCUCACUGGCCCGAUACUGACGCUGAGGCACGAAAGCGUGGGGAGCAAACAGG
rnacentral:rRNA from 1 species